rnacentral:rRNA from 1 species
GAUGAACGCUGGCGGCGUGCCUAAUACAUGCAAGUCGAACGAAUCUUCUUCGGAAGAUGAGUGGCGAACGGGUGAGUAAUACAUAGGUAACCUGCCCCUGUGCGGGGGAUAACAGGAGGAAACUCCUGCUAAUACCGCAUAGCCAUGAACACCGCAUGGAGCUCAUGCCAAAUAUCCUUUCGGGGAUAGCGCAGGGAUGGACCUAUGGCGCAUUAGCUGGUUGGCGGGGCAACGGCCCACCAAGGCAACGAUGCGUAGCCGGCCUGAGAGAGCGGACGGCCACAUUGGGACUGAGACACGGCCCAGACUCCUACGGGAGGCAGCAGUAGGGAAUUUUCGGCAAUGGGGGAAACCCUGACCGAGCAACGCCGCGUGAGCGAAGAAGGCCUUCGGGUCGUAAAGCUCUGUUGUAAAGGAAGAACGGCGCAUACAGGAAAUGGUAUGCGAGUGACGGAACUUUACCAGAAAGCCACGGCUAACUACGUGCCAGCCGCCGCAGUAA